AUGAAUUCAUCCCGCAAGUUCUUCAUGGUUGUUGUCGUCCUUGCCUUGCUCGUCGUGGCUACGGAGAUGGCACCGGCGCAGGCGGUAGACUGCAGGACAGCGAGCACCCGGUUCAACGGCAUAUGCAUCCUGGACAGCAGUUGCGCCAACAUGUGCAUCACCGAGGGGUUCCUGGCUGGCGGGGACUGUGAAGGCCUCCACCGGCGAUGCAUGUGCAAAACACCAUGCUAG
rnacentral:rRNA from 1 species